AGCGGCGGACGGGUGAGUAAUACAUCGAGACGUACCUAAUAGUUGGGGAUAGCUAACCGAAAGGUUGGAUAAUACCGAAUAAUCUCUGAGGAGGAAAGCUGGGGACUUAGCUUGCUAGGCCUGGCGCUAAUAGAGCGGUCGAUGGUUGAUUAGCUAGUUGGUGGGGUAAAAGCUUACCAAGGCGAUGAUCAAUAGCUGUUCUGAGAGGAAGAUCAGCCACACUGGGACUGAGACACGGCCCAGACUCCUACGGGAGGCAGCAGUGGGGAAUUUUGGACAAUGGGGGGAACCCUGAUCCAGCAACGCCGCGUGAAUGAAGAAGGCCUUAGGGUUGUAAAGUUCUUUUACAUGGGAGCAAGUUUAUAGGUUAAGAGCUAAAUAAAUUGAGAGUACCAUGAGAAUAAGCACCGGCUAACUACGUGCCAGCAGCCGCGGUAAUACGUAGGGUGCGAGCGUUAAUCGGAAUUACUGGGCGUAAAGGGUGAGUAGGCGGAUGUACAAGUUAGAUGUGAAAUACCUAGGCUUAACCUGGGAGGUGCAUUUAAGACUGUAUGUCUAGAGUCUGUUAGAGGGGGGUAGAAUUCCAAGUGUAGCAGUGAAAUGCGUAGAGAUUUGGAGGAAUACCGAAGGCGAAGGCAGCCCCCUGGGAUAAGACUGACGCUGAGUCACGAAAGCGUGGGUAGCAAACAGGAUUAGAUAC
rnacentral:rRNA from 1 species